UGAUCUGUUGGGAUUUGCUGCCUGGAAU
rnacentral:piRNA from 1 species